rnacentral:tRNA from 1 species
GCAGAUAUAGCCAAGCGGUACGGCGCUGGUCUGGAAAACCAGUGUGCGAAAGCACCCGAGGGUUCGAAUCCCUCUGUCUGCG